UACGUAGGGUGCGAGCGUUGUCCGGAAUUAUUGGGCGUAAAGAGCUCGUAGGCGGUGUGUCACGUCGAUCGUGAAAACUUACAGCUUAACUGUGAGCGUGCGGUCGAUACGGGCAUCACUGGAGUUCGGCAGGGGAGACUGGAAUUCCUGGUGUAGCGGUGAAAUGCGCAGAUAUCAGGAGGAACACCGGUGGCGAAGGCGGGUCUCUGGGCCGAUAUUGACGCUGAGGAGCGAAAGCGUGGGGAGCGAACAGG
rnacentral:rRNA from 1 species